UGGGGAAUUUUGGACAAUGGGGGCAACCCUGAUCCAGCCAUGCCGCGUGAGUGAUGAAGGCCUUCGGGUCGUAAACCACUGUCAGGAGGAAAGAAAAGUCGGCCGGAUAAUACUCGGUCGACCUGACGGUACCUCCAAAGGAAGCACCGGCUAACUCCGUGCCAGCAGCCGCGGUAAUACGGAGGGUGCAAGCGUUGUUCGGAAUUACUGGGCGUAAAGCGCGUGUAGGUGGUCGAGUAAGUCGAAUGUGAAAGCCCCGGGCUCAACCCGGGAAGUGCAUCCGAAACUGCUCGACUAGAGUCCCGGAGAGGAAGGCAGAAUUCCCAAUGUAGGGGUGAAAUCCGUAGAUAUUGGGAGGAAUACCGGUGGCGAAGGCGGCCUUCUGGACGGUGACUGACACUCAGACGCGAAAGCGUGGGGAGCAAACAGGAUUAGAUACCCCGGUAGUCCCUGAGCGGGCUGGCAAGGCGCAU
rnacentral:rRNA from 1 species